GCACUGCUGAAGAGUUCCAAAAUAGGACGAUACGGCCCGUCCAGUGA
rnacentral:hammerhead_ribozyme from 1 species